rnacentral:rRNA from 1 species
GCUAGCUAGGUGCGGGCGGCGGGGGUAUGACGACGGGUGAGUAGGUGUAUCGGAAGUCCUGUGCGGCAAUCGUACGCAGUGGGUUACAUAAGGGAGUUGUGGAAUGCCCGGGCUUAACCUGGGAACUGCGGUUGGGACUGUGGGACUCGAGUGUGGCAGAGGGGAGUGGAAUUCCACGUGUAGCAGUGAAAUGCGUAGAGAUGUGGAGGAACACCGAUGGCGAAGGCAGCACCAUGGGUCAACACUGACGCUCAUGCACGAAAGCGUGGGGAGCAAACAGGAUUAGAUACCCCAGUAGUC